UAGGGAAUCUUCGGCAAUGGACGGAAGUCUGACCGAGCAACGCCGCGUGAGUGAAGAAGGUUUUCGGAUCGUAAAGCGCUGUUGUAAGAGAAGAACGAGUGUGAGAGUGGAAAGUUCACACUGUGACGGUAUCUUACCAGAAAGGGACGGCUAACUACGUGCCAGCAGCCGCGGUAAUACGUAGGUCCCGAGCGUUGUCCGGAUUUAUCGGGCGUAAAGCGAGCGCAGGCGGUUAGAUAAGUCUGAAGUUAAAGGCUGUGGCUUAACCAUAGUACGCUUUGGAAACUGUUUAACUUGAGUGCAAGAGGGGAGAGCGGAAUUCCAUGUGUAGCGGUGAAAUGCGUAGAUAUAUGGAGGAACACCGGUGGCGAAAGCGGCUCUCUGGCUUGUAACUGACGCUGAGGCUCGAAAGCGUGGGGAGCAAACAGGAUUAGAUACCCUGGUAGUCCACGCCGUAAACGAUGAGUGCUAGGUGUUAGACCCUUUCCGGGGUUUAGUGCCGCAGCUAACGCAUUAAGCACUCCGCCUGGGGAGUACGACCGCAAGGUUG
rnacentral:rRNA from 1 species